CACUUCCUGUGAUCAAAGGCCCUGGUGACAUUGUGUAUUUGGGGUCUACAUGAAAACAAGGAGAGAUUGAAGCUGUGGUGAUUGCCACUAGUGUUCAUACCUUUUUUGGCAAGGCUGCUCAUCUUGUCGAUAACACAAAUCAACAGGCCCACUUUUAAAAGUGCUAGUGGGAUUCCAGGAGAGAAUAUGGGUGUUAUUAUACAAUUCCUCUUGAUCAUGGUCAAUCUGGGAGGACAGAUAGCCUCUUGUAUAUCCUUCAUGGACUCUGCUAACCUAUGCUUCGAUGACUAUUGGUUUUGUAAGUCUCCUUUUCAGCAGCUCAUCUCUUAUUUGGGAUUAUACGGAUCUGGGUUUGAGUUUGAAGGUCUUGUUUGGGCCAUUAGAACUUAGUUAUGUAGAUUACAAUUGUAUUUUGAUUUGAUAGGUCAGUAGGUUUUGAUUUUGUUUCAUUUUGAUUUCAUAGACUGGCUUUGGUUCAAUGACUCUUGUCUUGGUCUCUCCAUGAAUUCGAAGUCAAUCACUUAGUGACUCUUCAUCUCUCUCUCUCUCUCUCUCUCUCUCUCUCUCUCUCUCUCAAUCUCUCCUGGACGGUUGCCAGCACUAGCCCUCUCCCUCUAUCCUCGAAUUAGAUCAGGUGCUAGUUCUGGUUGUUUAAGCUUUGUUUUUGAAAAAGGUGUUGGCUUUGGUGAAUGUUUCCGGGAUUUAUGUGAUCUGGGUUGUCAUUCGAUUUGGUUUUUAUUGGGUUUUUGAUGCUUUUCUUGCUAGCUUUGGUUGCUGGGAUAUUGAAGACAAAAUAAAAGAGAAGAAAAUGAAAUGAAAUGGGCAUGUCCUUCAUUUUCUCUAUGGUUUUCUGGGUGCAGAAACAUACUGUGAUUGAGUCCAAGCCUGAACAUUUUCUGGAUGACCUUCGUUUGAAUAAUCCAUGGCCUGAGCUUAGAAGGUCCAGAGUUGCAACAAAUAAUUAGUGACAGCCGUUCUUAAGUUCAUUCCGGUUAAUCAGACUUUUGGGUCAUGGUGGCGGCAUUGAAGAUUUGUGAAACCAAGAUUGAAUCUGCGACAACUGGAUAUAGUGUGCAUAAAUUAGAUCUGUUUAUCUUGGAAUUCCUAGCAAAUGAAGGUGGUGGUGAGGCACCCCUCGAGGGAUCAGUACCAGAUAUAACAUCUUCAACUGAGCACUAUGUAGCUUUACAGAAAACCUACCAAGCCAAGGCUGAGGCUGAUUUUCUAGUAUUGACCAAAGGGUUAGGACUCUUCUAAAGAGAAUUAGUAGAGAUCCUAGUAGCAACUCAAAGGCAACUGUUAUAAGUUUCUGCAAGAAUGCUAGAAAACUCAAAGUAAGUGUGUGGAGUUUU